GCCAUGUGGCAUACUAAAAAAUAUUUUAGAAUUUGACGUGUCAAUACAGAAUGCCAUCUCUACUACUCAUAUAUCGUUUUAUUAUUAUUAUUAUUAUUAUUAUUAUUAUUAUUAUUAUUAUUAUUAUUAUUAUUAUAUAGAUAGAUGUAUGCAAGUUAUAAAAGAAAAGCUCAUUAAAAAGUCUCCAAUGAUGGUGGAGACCACUAUGCCGCUGCUUAGCU
rnacentral:lncRNA from 1 species